UCGAACUUUGCCCAGGCACCUCACCUGCUGCCUCCUCCAGGUCCGCUCAGCUCAAUCGCCCACUUGAAGCGCCGGCCUCGGUUGGCCACCAGGCUCCCCUGGGCCGUCAUGGCAACGGCCGCCUCCCAAAGCUGCAGAGCUCGCGACCAAACUUCAGCCAGGCCUCAAGCCCAACAGCGUCCGCGACUUCUGGGGCUCACUCUGCAAGUCCACAUCCGGCGCGUAACUAUAGACGUCACUUCCGUCCCGGAAAUUGUCAAGCGGCUGACCGAAGGGUGUGGUCGGAGGUACAGAAGGUGGGAGGGAAAAGAAAGAAUGUAAAGGUACCUAAAGCGUCUUCCGCGCCUUCCCUCCUUUCUGAAGAAGGCCUGCAGGGUGUUCCCUCACCUCUGAGGAAUCCUCAUAGUGUUACUUGCUAAAAACGUGUUCCAGAGAAGGUGAAGAUGUUGAGACUGAACUGAGGAAAGGUUCCAAGGGCUUCCCUGGUGGCGCAGUGGUUGAGAGUCUGCCUGCCGAUGUAGGGGACGUGGGUUCGUGCCCCGAUCCAGGAAGAUCCCACGUGCCGCGGAGCAGCUGAGCCCGUGAGCCAUGGCCGCUGAGCCUCCAUGUCUGGACCUCAACAGGAGAGGCCACAACAGUGAGAGGCCCGCGUACCGCAAAAAAAAACCAAAAAA